AAUCCUCAAAAGAAAAGCUUAACUGCUUUCUCUUUUGGAAUUGGAGUGUGCUGGCCUUCUGUUGGGAAGCCCAGCUCCUCUGAAAUACAUUAGCGAUGUGACAUCCGCAUGGCACCAUGCUUAUCUGGCAUUGAUAGUAUCUUCAUGCCUGAGUGUGUUGUGCAGCUGUGGAAAGCUUUGCUCGCUCAUAGCCUGAUGGGUCAGCCCAUCCUUUGACCA
rnacentral:misc_RNA from 1 species